rnacentral:rRNA from 1 species
UCUUCGGAUGUGUAUAAAGUGGCGAACGGCUGAGUAACACGUGGGCAACCUGCCCUUUGCACUGGGAUAGCCUCGGGAAACCGAGGUUAAUACCGGAUACUCCAUAUUUGUCGCAUGGCGAAUAUGGGAAAGCUCCGGCGGCAAAGGAUGGGCCCGCGGCCUGUUAGCUAGUUGGUGGGGUAGUGGCCUACCAAGGCAAUGAUGGGUAGCCGGGUUGAGAGACCGACCGGCCAGAUUGGGACUGAGACACGGCCCAGACUCCUACGGGAGGCAGCAGUGGGGAAUCUUGCACAAUGGGCGAAAGCCUGAUGCAGCGACGCCGCGUGCGGGAUGAAGGCCUUCGGGUUGUAAACCGCUUUCAGCAGGGACGAGGCCGCAAGGUGACGGUACCUGCAGAAGAAGCCCCGGCUAACUACGUGCCAGCAGCCGCGGUAAUACGUAGGGGGCAAGCGUUAUCCGGAUUCAUUGGGCGUAAAGCGCGCGUAGGCGGUCUGUUAGGUCAGGAGUUAAAUCUGGGGGCUCAACCCCUAUCCGCUCCUGAUACCGGCAGGCUUGAGUCUGGUAGGGGAAGAUGGAAUUCCAAGUGUAGCGGUGAAAUGCGCAGAUAUUUGGAAGAACACCGGUGGCGAAGGCGGUCUUCUGGGCCAUGACUGACGCUGAGGCGCGAAAGCUAGGGGAGCGAACAGGAUUAGAUACCCUGGUAGUCCUAGCUG